rnacentral:rRNA from 1 species
GAUGAACGCUAGCGGCAGGCUUAACACAUGCAAGUCGAGGGGUAGAAGCAGCUUGCUGCUUUGAGACCGGCGCACGGGUGCGUAACGCGUAUGCAAUCUACCUUUUACAGAGGGAUAGCCCAGAGAAAUUUGGAUUAAUACCUCAUAGUAUGUGAGAAUCGCAUGGUUUUCACAUUAAAGUUCCAACGGUAAAAGAUGAGCAUGCGUCCCAUUAGCUAGAUGGUAAGGUAACGGCUUACCAUGGCGACGAUGGGUAGGGGUCCUGAGAGGGAGAUCCCCCACACUGGUACUGAGACACGGACCAGACUCCUACGGGAGGCAGCAGUGGGGAAUUUUGGACAAUGGACGCAAGUCUGAUCCAGCCAUUCCGCGUGCAGGAUGAAGGCCCUCGGGUUGUAAACUGCUUUUGUACGGAACGAAAAGGUUUCUAUUAAUACUAGGAGCUCAUGACGGUACCGUAAGAUAAGCACCGGCUAACUACGUGCCAGCAGCCG